UCCGAGUUGACCCCGGCAGUCUCCCAUGAGUCCCCGCCAUUACGCGCUGGCAACAUGGAACGAGGGUUGCGCUCGUUGCGGGACUUAACCCAACAUCUCACGACACGAGCUGACGACAACCAUGCACCACCUGUGAACCGGCCCCAAAAGGAGAAACCACAUCUCUGCGGCGGUCCGGUCCAUGUCAAGCCUUGGUAAGGUGGGGAUGACGUGGGAGGAAUUCCA
rnacentral:misc_RNA from 1 species